UACAGAGGGUGCAAGCGUUAAUCGGAAUUACUGGGCGUAAAGCGUGCGCAGACGGUUGCGUAAGUCAGAUGUGAAAGCCCCGGGCUCAACCUGGGAAUUGCAUUUGAGACUGCGUAGCUAGGGUGCGGAAGAGGGAAGCGGAAUUUCCGGUGUAGCGGUGAAAUGCGUAGAUAUCGGAAGGAACACCAGUGGCGAAAGUGGCUUCCUGGUCCAGCACCGACGUUCAGGCACGAAAGCGUGGGGAGCAAACAGG
rnacentral:rRNA from 1 species